rnacentral:rRNA from 1 species
UACGUAUGGAGCAAGCGUUAUCCGGAUUUACUGGGUGUAAAGGGAGCGCAGGCGGCUUUGCAAGUCUGAUGUGAAAGGCCGGGGCUCAACCCCGGGACUGCAUUGGAAACUGUAAAGCUAGAGUGCCGGAGGGGUAAGCGGAAUUCCUAGCGUAGCGGUGAAAUGCGUAGAUAUCAGGAGGAACACCGGUGGCGAAGGCGGCCUGCUGGACUGCGACUGACGUUGAGGCCCGAAAGCGUGGGGAGCAAACAGG